rnacentral:rRNA from 1 species
AACGAACGCUGGCGGCAUGCCUAACACAUGCAAGUCGAACGAAGGCUUCGGCCUUAGUGGCGCACGGGUGCGUAACGCGUGGGAAUCUGCCAUUUGGUUCGGAAUAACAUCUGGAAACGGCUGCUAAUACGGGAAGAGUACGAAAGACCAAAGAUUUAUCGCCAGAGGAUGAGCCGGCGUUGGGGUAGGCAGUUGGUGGGGUAAACGCCUACCAAGCCGACGAUCCAUAGCUGGUCUGAGAGGAUGAUCAGCCACACUGGGACUGAGACACGGCCCAGACUCCUACGGGAGGCAGCAGUGGGGAAUAUUGGAAAAUGGGCGCAAGCCUGAUCCAGCAAUGCCGCGUGAGUGAUGAAGGCCCUAGGGUUGUAAAGCUCUUUUACCCGGGAAGAUAAUGACUGUACCGGGAGAAUAAGCCCCGGCUAACUCCGUG